CUGGCUCAGAGUGAACGCUGGCGGUAGGCCUAACACAUGCAAGUCGAACGGCAGCACAGGAGAGCUUGCUCUCUGGGUGGCGAGUGGCGGACGGGUGAGGAAUACAUCGGAAUCUACUCUGUCGUGGGGGAUAACGUAGGGAAACUUACGCUAAUACCGCAUA
rnacentral:rRNA from 1 species